GGGCCCGUAGUAUAGCUUGGUAGUACUCCGGCUUGGGGUGUCGGCAACCUGAGUUCAAAUCUCAGCGGGCCCA
rnacentral:tRNA from 1 species